CCCACAGAAACCCUUGUAUGGUAUACUGCUUUAAUAUACUUGACCAGGGGGAUGACAAAUUCUGAAGGACUAGCCCUGAAAUCAAAAAACAUAAAUAAACAAUGUGUACAUUAUAAUAUUAAAAUACUUUCAAAGUUGCACUAGAAGAUAUUUCACCUGGGGUUAUAAAAUAUUGUAAAACGGCUAUUAGUGGCUGCUGCAUGAGCUGCAGCAGCAAGAAGACCUAUAUGCAUGCUAUCACUUGAUAAAACUGACGAAGGCAUGAAAGUUUGAGGACGAUUCGCUCGCCGAAUACCCAAGAGUAAUUGGUUCUUCUCAUUCCAAAUGAAAAGGACAGAAUCACCAGCAACAAGCCUCUUUGCACUAACAAAGACACUCCAUCCUGUUGUAAGAAGAUGCCUCUUGGGUUGUCCUGAAAUUCAGUGAGAAAAGUCAUUAUAAGCAGGAAUUUGACUCUCGGAACAUGCUGGCAGUUUCUUCUCAUCACUUUGGCAAGAAUAUCCAGUACCGUCAUAUUACUUUUUACCAAUGUUAUCACCAUUGUCACGUAAGCUGGUACUAAAUGCAAGCAUGCUACUUUAUUUUGCUGCCAGAGUUCAAGUUCUUAUUCAAUUUCCAAUUCCACCAGAAAAAGGAACAAUAUUGACCAAAAAAAUUCUAAGAGAAACUCAACCUCCACCCCAUCUCAGGAUCAUUUCAAUUUAUGUAUUUUUCUUCAAUUUCAUUAGUGAGACUUUUCAAUCUUCAUAUUCAAUGAUUAUAAAACAAUAAACUUUAGAAUUUUCACCCACACUUUUCC
rnacentral:lncRNA from 1 species